AACGUAGGAGGCAAGCGUUAUCCGGAGUUACUGGGCGUAAAGAGCGUGUAGGCGGGUAUGCAAGUUUGGCGUGAAAGCUCCCGGCUAAACUGGGAGACUGCGUUGAAGACUGCGUAUCUAGAGGCAAGUAGAGGGACGUGGAAUUCCGGGUGUAGUGGUGAAAUGCGUAGAGAUCCGGAGGAACACCAGUGGCGAAGGCGACGUCCUGGGCUUGACCUGACGCUGAGACGCGACAGCACGGGGAGCGAACGGG
rnacentral:rRNA from 1 species